GGGAGGCAAAGGGGCCUACAGGGCUAGUAGCUUAUACGUUGUUGAACGUCCUGCCUGGACCCGGAGCCGCCCCCAUCUAAACCCUCUGCGUACCUGUCCCUUCUUGCUUCCCCCGGCAUCUCGUCGGGGGGAGGUAACAACCAAAACUCUCUGUGAAUCAAACAGCCGUCAGAAUUAUAAAACAAACAAAAGUUAAAACUUUCAACAACGGAUCUCUUGGUUCCCACAUCGAUGAAGAACGCAGCGAAAUGCGAUAAGUAAUGUGAAUUGCAGAAUUCAGUGAAUCAUCGAAUCUUUGAACGCACAUUGCGCCCCCUGGUAUUCCGGGGGGCAUGCCUGUUCGAGCGUCAUAAAAACCUCCUCCCCCUUCGGGUUUUGUUACUAUCGUUGGGGGGUUUUGGCCUAAUGGGAUAGCGAUUGGCAAUUCGUUUCCCAAUGUCCUAAAUAGACGUAGACCCGCCUCCAGAUGCGACAGCACCGAGGCCAUCAACCGUGGAGUUAUGGGAUAUAAUAGGCUUGCAGUAAAAUGCUCACCUCUCUCCACACGCCGAUGGCACGACAGUUGCAGUUGCGGGCGUAAAUUGGAGCCCUUUUCAGGACCCUUGUGGCCUAGCAUCCACCAUACAUAAUUUGACCUCGGAUCAGGUAG
rnacentral:rRNA from 1 species